CUUAAUGGAUGUACAAGAUUAGGUUCUCCAGGCUGUCCUCUGGAAUGCAAUUACACCAGUUAUACUGGGAUUCCUGUCUUGGAGAUGACACACAUUGCUGCUGACAUGAAACACAGACAAUAAGUGUUAUCAUGCACCAGAAAGACAUUAUAUUUAGAACUUCAUCCCUCAGAGCAAAAGUUACUGGAUAUUUCUUCAGGCUAAUGAUGUACGUGCAGUUGUGAACAGUGCAGAGCAGUGGUUUCCAACCCAAGGUAA